rnacentral:rRNA from 1 species
GACGAACGCUGGCGGCGUGCCUAAUACAUGCAAGUCGAACGCAGUGGGGACGGGUGAGUAACACGUGGGUAACCUCCCAUCAGAGGGGAUAACACUUGGAAACAGGUGCUAAACAGAUACUGAUGGAUUAACCCGCGGUGCAUUAGCUAGUUGGUGAGGUAACGGCUCACCAAGGCCACGAGGCAUAGCCGACCGUAGAGGAUGAUCAGCCACACUGUGACUGAGACACGGCCCAGACGACGACGUGAGGAAGCAGUGGGGAAGAUUGCACAAUGGGCGCAAGCCUGAUGCAGCCAUGCAGCGUGUAUGAAGAAGGCCUUAGUGUUGUAAAGUACUUUCAGCGGGGAGGCGUUACCCGCAUAAGAAGCACCGGCUAACGCCGUGCCAGAAGCGGCGGUAAUAC